UUAGCAAGUGAAUCCCAUCUGCAGCGUCCCAGCCGCCCGUGAUUCUCCCCCAAAUCCCAGCAUCCCAACCUAUUCUCCCAUCCGUAUUCAUCAUCCACGGAUCUGCUCCUCCCAGCAUCGCGUCCCAGCCGCUCGUGAAGCCCCCCAUCCUUUCGUUUCAGCCUCCCACGUCCGAUUUCAAGCCGUGAUCCCAGCGUCCAAGCUUCCGAAACCAAUCCAUCUCCUUCUGUUUUAGCCUCCCACGUCCGAUUUCAAGCCGUGAUCCCAGCGUCCAAGCUUUCGGAGCCAAUCCAGCCUCCUCCACCUCUGCUUCCGCUCGUAAUGCAUCCAAGAUCCAGCGUCUCAGCCUCUCCCAUUGUCGACGACGCAUCCGGAUCCACCUCCCGAAAUCCCAGGCGCCCAUUCCCCCUCCUCUCCAUGCGCAAUCAAGGGAUCCAUGGUUGGCUUCAAGGCUCUGGCGAUCUAUAAGAAGGAGAGGAGAAGGAACGAGGGAGGGAGCUCUCGGUUGGGGCCAAGAAAUAGGGGAGAAAAGGGUGGAGCGCUCGGUUGGGGGAAGAGAAGAAAGCUCUGUUUCAAAAGAGAAACAGAGGAGAAGCUCUAUUUUCCGAGAAGAAGAAAAAAAAAAUUAUAUAUUGUACUCUUUCUUUUAGUGUUCCACCGUGAAGGAUUAUUUGUUCCUUGUUUUUAUAUUUUUUUCUUCUUACUUUUGUAAGCACUUGUCC
rnacentral:lncRNA from 1 species